GGACUACCCGGGUUUCUAAUCCCGUUCGCUCCCCAUGCUGUCGUGUCUGAAUGUCAGAAGCGGGCCAGGACGCCGCCUUCGCCUCAGGGGUUCCUCCGGAUCUCUACGCAUUUCACCACUACACCCGGAAUUCCACGUCCCUCUCCCGUUCUCUAGAACGACAGUCUGGCAUAACCCCUCGGCGUUAAGCACCGAGAUUUCAUACACCACUUGCCGUCCCAUCUGCACACCCUUUACGCCCAGUAAAUCCGGAUAACGCUCGCCACCUACGUUUUACCGCGGCUGCUGGCAC
rnacentral:rRNA from 1 species